AUUUUAGCCAACCCACCAUUGUCGGAGCAGCUUCGCUUGCGCCAUGCAGGUGGUGAACUGAUCAAGGUUGUUCCCGUAUUUUGGUCCUCUCUCUCUUCUCUUUCUCACUCUCUCUAAAUCUGCAUGAACCUCCAUUUCGGACACUUGGAGACCUUUGCUCUCCCCCCCUCUCUCUCCAGAAUCUCUUCGUCUCUGAUCCGGUACCUGGAAUUGGAAGGGUAGCUCCACCAGCGAGGGCACGAGCCGAUUACGAUUACCUCAUUAAGCUCUUGUUAAUUGGCAAUAGCGGUAAUUCUCUCUCUUUCUCUCUCUAGGGCAAAA